rnacentral:rRNA from 1 species
UACGGAGGGCGCAAGCGUUGUUCGGCCUCACUGGGCGUAAAGCGCGUGUCGGCGGCUCUGCAAGUCGGGUGUGAAAUCCCGAGGCUCAACCUCGGAACUGCACUCGAUACUGCUUGGCUCGAGUCCCGGAGAGGGUGGCGGAAUUCCCGGUGUAGGGGUGAAAUCCGUAGAUAUCGGGAGGAACACCAGUGGCGAAGGCGGCCACCUGGACGGUGACUGACGCUGAGACGCGAAAGCGUGGGGAGCAAACAGG